rnacentral:rRNA from 1 species
UACGGAGGGUGCAAGCGUUAUCCGGAUUCACUGGGUUUAAAGGGUGCGUAGGUGGCCAAGUAAGUCAGUGGUGAAAUCUCCGGGCUUAACCCGGAAACUGCCAUUGAUACUAUUUGUCUUGAAUACUGUGGAGGUCAGCGGAAUAUGUCAUGUAGCGGUGAAAUGCUUAGAUAUGACAUAGAACACCAAUUGCGAAGGCAGCUGGCUACACAAAUAUUGACACUGAGGCACGAAAGCGUGGGGAUCAAACAGG